rnacentral:lncRNA from 1 species
GAAAAAGAAGCAAGAGGAGAAAGCAGGGCUCCUGAAAGCCAGGCUGAUGAGGGAAAUUCCUGUGCUGAGUAAACAUGAAUUUCUGAAUAGGCAGAGUCUAUGUGUGAACAGCACAGGAGCUCGCCCCACCCCACCCCGGCAGACAGCCAGGGGUUUCAGGGAGCCAUGAAGAUGUCUCAGCAAUGUACACAAGACACGCAUAGGUGAAGCUGGACACUAGUCAGACCUGUGAAGUAACUUCCUGUAACAGAGGGAGGAAGACUGGCGGGGAUCAAGUGAUCGCAUCACCUCAUUGGCUCUGCAGGUCUAAGUCAACUCAAAGGCAACCGUGGCCCAGAUCCUCCUGACUUGUCACCGAGAGUGGCUGGAAUGAGUGGUGCUGCAGGAAACGCGGAGCCGAACUUUACAAU